GACGAACGCUGGCGGCGUGCUUAACACAUGCAAGUCGAACGGGAAGGCCUCUUUCGGGGGGUACUCGAGUGGCGAACGGGUGAGUAACACGUGAGUAACCUGCCCUUGACUUUGGGAUAACUUCAGGAAACUGGGGCUAAUACCGGAUAGGAGCUCCUGCUGCAUGGUGGGGGUUGGAAAGUUUCGGCGGUUGGGGAUGGACUCGCGGCUUAUCAGCUUGUUGGUGGGGUAGUGGCUUACCAAGGCUUUGACGGGUAGCCGGCCUGAGAGGGUGACCGGCCACAUUGGGACUGAGAUACGGCCCAGACUCCUACGGGAGGCAGCAGUGGGGAAUAUUGCACAAUGGGUGGAAGCCGGAUGCAGCAACGCCGUGUGCGGGAUGACGGCCUUCGGGUUGUAAACCGCUUUCGCUCAUGACGAAGCUUUGUGUGACGGUAGUGGGUAAAGAAGCACCGGCUAACUACGUG
rnacentral:rRNA from 1 species